rnacentral:rRNA from 1 species
AGAGCGAACGCUGGCGGCAGGCCUAACACAUGCAAGUCGAACGGACCCUUCGGGGUUAGUGGCGGACGGGUGAGUAACACGUGGGAACGUGCCUUUUGGUUCGGAAUAGCUCCUGGAAACGGGUGGUAAUGCCGAAUGUGCCCUUCGGGGGAAAGAUUUAUCGCCAUUAGAGCGGCCCGCGUCUGAUUAGCUAGUUGGUGAGGUAAAGGCUCACCAAGGCUACGAUCAGUGCUGGUCUAGAGGAGGAUCGACCAGCCACAGUUGGACUGAGACACGGACCCAAACUCCGACGGGAGCAGCAGGUAGGGAAUCGUUG